AGAACUUGAAGAGGAGUAUUUGUGUGGUAACUAAUUCAACUUUAAGGCCAAACUUUGCAGUUGGCAUUAUGCAUACCUGUGAAAGAAGUGCUAGAGUGUUAAUAAUGCUCAAUCAGCCGGUGGUCUAUGAAAGCUUUUAUUCAUCAUCCCUUGGUGAUUCUCCUAACAGCUCUGGAGGCUUUUGGCUAUAUGAUGACAUGUGAAAUUAAAAUGUGUAUUGCUGCAUCUGGUGCACCUUUUGUACUAUUGGGAGCCAUGGUUUCUAAGCUUUUCACUAAUCGGACAAUCUAUGCAAAUAAGGUCUUGACUCCUAUAUGUUGUGUGCAGCACUUGUAACGCUCAUGCUCAUUAUAGCCAUAAAUUUGCCCCUCAGAUUUCUACCUCAUGUGGACAAUUCAGCUCAAAUUGAAGGAUUCCAGUCAGGAUUUCCCCUUGGCUUGGAUAUGUAAGCCACAAAUAAAUUCCUCCAAGAUAUGAAAUGAAGCAGAAAUCCAAGCACAAAUGCUAUCAAUACCUUUUAUAGCAUUACUGCUUUACUCCUCUAAAUUCUUGGAAGAAAUUGGCAGAUAUGCAUAUGGAUGUAUUGAGCUAUUUAAUGGUCAGAAGCCAUAUUGCUGUAUAUUCUGCCCUUCUAGAGCAUCAAUCAGUUGAAUGAUUAUGUCAGUCUAUUUGCCUAUUCUUCAAGCUUUGCAAGUAUAACAAAACUACUCUUGUAUGGAUGUGCACUGUGACAAAGGAUCUUGGCAGUUUACGCCUCCCAUUGUCGGCUUUUGAAGCUAGCCAGCUUGCAGAUUGUGCAGCCACUUCUUUUAUGCUCAUCACUUGGGUACCUAAGCAAGAGAUUUGGAAACUAAGAAAUCAUAAAGUGCAUAAUAGAGGUUCUGUCGGUAUUCUGAUGGCAGGCAAGCAUAUUCAAGCCUAAUCUAUGGAGUUUCAGUCCUUAAUGUCUGUUGAGAACAGUAAAGUAACAAGCUUAGCCCACUUGUCCUGGGAAUCUCCUUGAGUGAUCAAGAUCGAUAUUGAUGCAGCAGUCUCGGACUCAGUCACCACCUUGGCUGUCUUGGCUCGAGACUCUGAUGGUAAGGUUAUGAAGGUUUGAACUAAAUUGCAUGGAAGUGCUCCCCUCUCCAAGCUGAAGCGCUGUUCAGAUUGCUACUAGCAAGCUACAGAGCUGUCAUUUUUUAGGGUGACUCUAAAGUUUGUUUUGAGCCCUUAAUUUCCAGAGACCUCCCAUCUGAUUGAUCCAUAAGUAACAUCAUUUGUAAUAUUAUUAGUAUCUCCGAGUCUUGUCUUUGUUUUAGUUUUCGUUGGGUUAUGCAGGUAUGCAACUUUGUGGCUCAUACAGCAGCAAAGCUUGCUAUAUGCUCCAACAUGUCUUUUUAUUUCAAUAACGAUAAUCUGCCUGUAGAACUUGUUUCUGCUUGUAAGGUAGACUAUCCUCUUGUUUCCCUUGUUUAAUGUUAAGAGAAGAUUAUCAAAAAAAAAAAAAAAAAA